UUUAAAAAAUCAUUUUGUUUCUUAUGUUUUCAGGCAAAGACCAAAGAACACGAAGAAGAAUUAGAGCGUCAUGCCCAAUUCUUGUUGGUGAACUUUAAUCAUACCCACAAGAGGAUCCGCAGAGUAGCAGACAAAUACCUCUCUGGUUUGGCUGAGACAUUCCCUCAUCUACUCUGGAGCGGUCGUGUGUUAAAGACCAUGUUGGACAUUCUGCAGACACUCUCUCUGUCACUAAGUGCUGACAUUCAUAAGGACCAGCCAUACUAUGACAUUCCCGACACCCCAUACAGGAUCACUGUUCCUGACACAUAUGAAGCCAGAGAGGUGAGUUUGGGCUGUUAUUACACUUCUGACCACUAGAGGACAGCACAGUAUGGGCUUCAACAAUAGUAGGGAGAGAGUUCUUUUUUAUCAUAUCAAGUGUAAACUGUAUUUUAAUGGUGGACUGAGGUUUGGGCUCUUAAAAAAUGUAGAAAUUAAAUAAACAAAUGGCAUUUGGUUUGUGCUAGAAUUAAUUUUACUCAGUGAAUGCCCGCCACUCUUUUUGCCAUCAGAAUUAUUGUCUAAAGGCAAAGAAAGAUGCCCAGCGGAUUUACUUUACCA